GACAGAGGGUGCGAACGUUGCUCGGAAUUACUGGGCGUAAAGCGCGUGUAGGCGGUCUCGCAAGUCCGGUGUGAAAGCCCGGGGCUCAACCCCGGAAGUGCACUGGAUACUACGGGGCUGGAGUCCUGAAGAGGAGGGCGGAAUUCCCGGUGUAGAGGUGAAAUUCGUAGAUAUCGGGAGGAACACCAGUGGCGAAGGCGGCCCUCUGGACAGGUACUGACGCUGAGACGCGAAAGCGUGGGUAGCAAACAGG
rnacentral:rRNA from 1 species